UUGCAACACAGAGAGCACCAAAUUCCAACCAAAUUGUGCAUUUAACUCAAGCUGAUACAGAAGACAGCCUAGAGGCACAGGAACAGUGCCUGGGAACUUCAGGGCCUGUCCAACAAUGGACCUCUCAGUCCUAUAAGAAGAUACCAAUGGAAAGUCCCAUCAAUACUUUCUAUCCUUUGCAGCUGAACUAUUCUUCCUGGUGCUGGCUCUAAGGAAUGAUGGGAUUCUAAGAAGAGGGAGGACACCGUGUCAAGUGGUGUGCAGCUGGUCGCAAAGCCUGCUCGUUGCUGAGAACUGACCUAAACCAAUUUGGUCAUUCUACAGUCAAUGGUUAUUCUUGUAAGCAUGAGUCAUCUCUGGCAAAUGGAGUGGAUAAAAGCCAUGAAUCCCUCAUCUCCGGACUCCUCCAAAAUACCACCUAACACCUAGUAGGGAGGAGUGGUACAAAGAAAGCAUUCCUAGACCAGCCUCUUCAAGUAUAAACAUUUAUUAUCAGAGGCUCACAAGCCAAGCUGCCUUUGAUAUUAGAAGAAACUUUGAACCUGAUUUUCAGUUUGGGGAGCAUUAAGACUCCAGGAACUUUGGAAGUUGAACUAGAUCCAUUGGCGUUAUGAAGCCAGGAGUGUAUGAGGACACAAUACUGUUGCUUAAAUGAAAAAUAUCCACCCCAUAGACUUGAAUGUUUAAAUAUUUGGUUCCCAGUCAGUGGUACCACUUUUGGAGGUAUGGAACCUUCAGGACUAGCUGGCAGAAGUGGGUUACUGGGGUGGCAUCUCCUUCUAGAUCUGUCUCACCCUCUCUGAUUCCUGUUCUGCCAAGAUGUGAGAAGUUGCCUCCUUGCUUUCCCAUAAGGAUGCCUUUUGAACUAUGAAGGAUUGAUAUUUCCAACACUAUGAGCCACAAUAAAUUCUGUCUUUGUGGUUACAGUAACAUGAAAGUAACUCGUAAUAGAUAUAUAGACUCAACGGGGUAGGAAGUAGUGAUUUCCCUGUCACUGGAAGCAUCCAAGGAAUCUUUGUGAGCACAGUUCAGGAGCAGAGGGAGCACUUUUCCUGAAGGCAGAGCAUGGGCCUGAAUAUUAGUGAUGAUAUCAAUAAGAGUACUAACAACUGAGCCUCCUGUUUGUUGAAGCAUGGGGGACAUUGUGCUAGAUACUUCACAGAUGUGGGCGUAUUUAAUGCAUACAGGGAGGUCUCUGAUUUUAUAGUACUAUCCAUUUGGCAUGUUAUUAAAUCAAAGCUCAUAAGUGUUAAAUAAUUUAUCAAGCUCACACCGCUGAUAUGACCACAGAAGCUGGGAACCAGAGCACACACUGCUUUUCCUUUUUCCAGAAUGAUCCAGCUCCAUGUUUUUCAAAAUGUUUUAAGUGACAGAUCCUUCUUGUUAAAUAAAAAUGUAUGCUGUGCAUCAAUACAUAAGUUUAAAAUUAUUGUACUAAU